GCGAGUUUGAUCAUGGCUCAGGACGAACGCUGGCGGCGUGCUUAACACAUGCAAGUCGAGCGGUGAAGUCCCUUCGGGGGCGGAUCAGCGGCGAACGGGUGAGUAACACGUGGGCAACCUGCCCUUAGCUCCGGGAUAACUCCGAGAAAUCGGGGCUAAUACCGGUUAUGACCUUCGACGGCAUCUUCGAAGGUGGAAAGCUCCGGCGGCUAAGGAUGGGCCCGCGGCCUAUCAGCUUGUUGGUGGGGUAAUGGCCCACCAAGGCGACGACGGGUAGCCGGCCUGAGAGGGCGACCGGCCACACUGGGACCGAGACACGGCCCAGACUCCUACGGGAGGCAGCAGUGGGGAAUAUUGCGCAAUGGGCGAAAGCCUGACGCAGCGACGCCGCGUGAGGGAUGAAGGCCUUCGGGUUGUAAACCUCUUUCAGCAGGGACGAAGCGAAAGUGACUGUACCUGCAGAAGAAGCACCGGCUAACUACGUGCCAGCAGCCGCGGUAAUAA
rnacentral:rRNA from 1 species